GAUUGAGACAAAACACAGUCUUCACUGCAAGAGAGGCAGAGUCACAUUGCUGAGGAUAAAAGAACAUAUUGAGGCAACAUAGUUGAGCAUUGCAGCUGAGAUUUGCCUGAUUCCAAAGUGACUCUUUGGAUCACCGUACUAGGGGUGACCAUUGUCUCCAGUCCAUCCUGUGCUCAGUGAGUCAUUAAUUAAACCCAGAGUCUCCAUAAGUGACCUGUUUUGGCA